UGUUUAGACCCCUGCAUAAUGAGCUACAGAAUGCAUUAAUGGAACAAUUUAGGGAGCCUCUCUGCCUUUAGCAGUGAUUCCUCCCUCUCGCCCCCCUUCUGUGGACUGACUGAAUUGACUUCUUUUUACCAGGUGUUUCAAGCCUGAACCCCGCCAUUUGGAAUGGAGCAUCUGCACCAUGUAAAGCAGGAUGACCAUGCUGGAAGCUCAUCUAAACCACACUGCUGAGCCAAUCAGCCAAAUGCUUUUCACGGGCUGCUUCCAUUUAAUACCACAAGCAGCAAGCUGACAUUUCUCUUCAGCAUCAUAAGAUGGAAAGCUCUGAAAUACCCAGUAGCAAUCUCAGCUUGUACCUUAUUUUGGUUUUAUCUGAGUUUUUUUUUCCUCCAUGUUGCAGCUGCUCUAUUCUUUAGUAAAAAGAGGUUAAAAAAUUAUUGGUGCAAAUGAAAAGGUUUAUGAGAACGGAAACUAGAAUACAGAAUAGAAAUGAGCAUAGGGAAAGAUUAAUAACAAAGCCUAUUGUGGGCUUUCUGUGGUAGCAGCCAAUUUGACUUGCUUUCAUUAAAAUUCUCCUUGUUAGCUCGGGUGAUGUGUUGGGGUGAUGGACUAUUUGAUGUCUAAGAAGUGGUGAAAAGUUAGCUGUCUAAUGAUGGACUAAUUAGAAAGCCCAUCCUAGCAGGAUCCAUGGAAAUUGAUUUGCACAGUGCCAUUUUUGCUAAUGAGAAUCAUGAAUACAUGUUUGCAGUCCUUUACUUACUCUUCCUACCCACAGCUAAUGAAAGAGAAGCAAUCAUUAAGACCUCAGCUACAAACCAGUUUCCUUUGCCUUGUAGGAAUAGCCAUACUCAUAAGAAAUUCACUUUUAAAUAAUAGUCUUGAUAGCAAAGCAAGCUCUACACAUCUCCCUCCUAUAAAAUGCCUGCCUUUCCUAGUGCGUCUCUUUUCCAGUUAUCCUCACUGAACAGGGAGUCAAUAUGUUCUGUCUGCAAUUUACAGAAAAUUGUCGUUACCGUGUGAGACUAGAAGAAACUAUAAAUAUUUGGAUUGAGUAAAAUUAAAAUUAGAUGACUUUUCCUACAAGGGCAUAACAUGUCCAUUCACAAGUAGGUCAAACAUUUUUAAUAUUUAUGCGUGUAAGACAAACAAUAAACCUGUUACUUUCAG